AUUGAACGCUGGCGGCAGGCCUAACACAUGCAAGUCGAGCGGAUGAAGGGAGCUUGCUCCUGGAUUCAGCGGCGGACGGGUGAGUAAUGCCUAGGAAUCUGCCUGGUAGUGGGGGAUAACGUCCGGAAACGGGCGCUAAUACCGCAUACGUCCUGAGGGAGAAAGUGGGGGAUCUUCGGACCUCACGCUCUCAGAUGAGCCUAGGUCGGAUUGGCUAGUUGGUGGGGUAAAGGCCUACCAAGGCGACGAUCCGUAACUGGUCUGAGAGGAUGAUCAGUCACACUGGAGCUGAGACACGGUCCAGACUCCUACGGGAGGCAGCAGUGGGGAAUAUUGGACAAUGGGCGAAAGCCUGAUCCAGCCAUGCCGCGUGUGUGAAGAAGGUCUUCGGAUUGUAAAGCACUUUAAGUUGGGAGGAAGGGCAGUAAGUUAAUACCUUGCUGUUUUGACGUUACCAACAGAAUAAGCACCGGCUAACUUCGUG
rnacentral:rRNA from 1 species